rnacentral:rRNA from 1 species
AGAGUUUGAUCAUGGCUCAGGACGAACGCUGGCGGCGUGCUUAAUACAUGCAAGUCGAGCGAGGUUAUCUUUUCAACGUCCUUCGGGACGGCGAAUUUUUAACCUAGCGGCGGACGGGUGAGUAACGCGUGGGUAAUCUGCCCUAAAGCCCGGGAUAACAGUGGGAAACUGCUGCUAAUACCGGAUAGCUUUAUCUGGAGGCAUCUUCGGAUAAGGAAACGUAAGGCUUUAGGAUGAGCCCGCGUCCCAUUAGCUAGUUGGUGAGGUAACGGCCCACCAAGGCGACGAUGGGUAGCCGGCCUGAGAGGGUGAACGGCCACACUGGGACUGAGACACGGCCCAGACUCCUACGGGAGGCAGCAGUAGGGAAUAUUGCGCAAUGGAGGGAACUCUGACGCAGCGACGCCGCGUGAGCGAUGAAGGUUUUCGGAUCGUAAAGCUCUGUCCUUGGGGAAGAAGAGCGCUUUUAAGCGCCUUUGGCGGUACCCAAGGAGGAAGCCCCGGCUAACUACGUGCCAGCAGCCGCGGUAAUACGUANGGGGCAAGCGUUGUCCGGAAUUAUUGGGCGUAAAGGGUGCGUANGCGGCCUUUU